ACGGGGAAGGCAUCUGCAUGCAGGGAAACAUCCCAUUGUAAACCCUCGGGGCCUUCGAUACACAGCACUGAAAGGGCCUUAUCUGGACCCUCCUGCUCCCCCUGCACAUCACUGACAGAGUCUUCCAGUCCCAGGAAACCUUGGAACACACAAAAAGGCACGCUGCGUCCUUCCCUCACCCUUGCAGGGCCUCCCUGAGCUGCUCCACACUCUGGACCCAAUGGGAAACAGAAAACCCACAGGAAUGCCAACGACUCUCCUCCGUAGAAACGCCAGUGGUGCCCGUCACGUGCUGAUUGAACUCAUCCUUGACCCUAAGGUAGCUCCUUGCUGGGACGGUGAAUCCACACUGCCAACACCUUACCCCACCGCAGUGUUUUGAGAGCUUCCUUCAUGGGCUGAAGAGCAGGAUGUGCCAGGAUGUGCCACACAGCUUGUUUUCCUAAAUGACACAGAUAGACCCCACCUGUGCAUGGUUUCCCAUAGAUGGAAACCACCAGAAAGGCACCCCAGAGAGUGAGAAUGGCAAGCGUGAUGAGAGCAUUCGCCUGGCCUGUGUGUCCCCGUGCAUCACGUCUGUCAUAGGCACAAACUCCUGUAUGUUUUUUAACAUAGGACUCAAGUAAGGACUGGAAAGAUGUUUAUCAAAUAAAACCAAUCUGCUAAUGA
rnacentral:lncRNA from 1 species